rnacentral:rRNA from 1 species
AAGAAUAAUUAGUCGGCGGAGUUUGAAAGCAGAGUGUGGUUUGCCAACAAUCAAUCCGAUAACUUGUUGACGUCUGCAUAACGCAUCACGGUUUCUUGCGCACUAGGCCACCAGUAGGACAGGAGUGUACCUGCGUAUAAUUUCCCGGAAUAUUUGAAGGCAGAAGCAGGAAGAAGGUUUCUCAAACUUAUAAAAUCAAUCAAAAUAAUAAAAAAGGAAGACAGGAAGGUGCCUUCCCCAAGGAAGGAAGGAAGGAAGGUGCCUUCGGAGAAGAAACAAAGCUACGGACCUGCAGCGAGUCAAGGUCUCCUCCUCCUCCUCCUCCUCACACCAGCGGGCGAGCUCCAUUGCGACCAACAGAGUCAACCAACUGUCAGGACACGGACCGGACAGGCCUCGCCUCCGGCCGACUCUGAUGUGAUUCUCAAGUUUCAUCUUUGGAUGAGAGCUGUGUCCCCCGUGGUUGUUGAUGCCAAAUCGCCAACCCGUGGUCAAUCUUUCCUGUCAGUUGCGCACGCUGCUCGGCCCCCAAAGCUAUCCUGCUUGACUGACUGAACAGUUGUUUUGUCACCAGCACAAAUGGCGGAGGCGGUGCUUGUUGCUCUCGGAAAGAUUGGGAAUGUCUUAGCUGAUGAAGCUACCAAGGCUUUGCUGGCCAAGCUGUCAGAAAAAGUUAGUAAUCUGAUUGAUCUGGAUGACAAGAUUGAGGGAAUAGCGAAGCAAUUAAAUACAAUGAAGAACGUCAUACAGCAGAUAGGCACGCCGUACCUCGCCGACAAAGUCGUAAAGGGUUGGAUUGGGGAGGUGAGGAAGUUGGCCUACCAUGUUGAGGACGUGAUGGACAAAUACUCAUAUCACUCUCUUCAUGUGGAAAAAGGGUUUCUGAAGAAGUGCCUCAAAGGAUCACAUUAUGUCCGGGUUUUCAGUCAAAUUGCCGAUGAGGUAGUCAAGAUAGAGAAGGAGAUAAAGCAAGUUAUUGAACUCAAGGAGCAAUGGCUGCAACCAUCCCAGCUUGUUCAUGACCCGCGCACUGAGAUGGAAAGACAACGGUCCCAAGAUAGCUUCCCUGAACUUGUGAAAGAUGGAGAUCUUAUUGGAAUUGAAGAUAACAGGCGAAUGAUGACUGAAUGGUUGUACUCGGAUGAGAUGGAGACUACGGUGAUAACGGUGUCGGGUAUGGGUGGGUUGGGAAAAACAACCCUCGUCACAAAUGUGUAUGAACGUGAAAAGGUCAACUUCCAAACUAGUGCGUGGAUGGUUGUGUCUCAGACCUACACUUUGGAUGCUCUGUUGAGGAAGUUACUCGAGAAGGUUACCGAACAACCAUCAUCACCUAACAUUGACAGGAUGGAUGUGCAUGACUUGAAGGAAGAAAUAAAGCGGAAGCUUAAAGAUAGGAAAUGUUUAAUUGUAUUGGAUGAUGUCUGGAACAAGGAGGUGUACUCUCAAAUGCGAGAUGCAUUCCAGAAUUCUGAUGCAAGUCGCAUCAUCAUCACAACGCGGAACAAUCACGUUGCUUCUGUUGCUCACUUGACACGCCGUAUCGAUCUCAAGCCUUUGGGGAAUGCUCACGCAUUCGAACUCUUCUGCAGGAGGGUCUUUUAUAUCAAGGAGGACCAUGAGUAUGAGUGUCCCAGUCAUCUCAUGAAAACUGCUAGGUCUAUAGUUGAUAGGUGUCAGGGUCUGCCACUAGCAAUUUUAUCAAUAGGUGGUGUUUUGUCUUCGAGGCCACAAACACAAUACUCUUGGGAGCAGAUAUGCAAUCAACUCUCAACUGAGCUGUCGAAGAAUGAUCAUCUCCGGGCAGUUUUAAAUCUGAGCUACCAUGACCUAUCUGGAGACCUCAGAAACUGCCUUUUGUAUUGCAGCCUCUUCCCGGAAGACUACCCAAUGUCACGUGAGAGCCUUGUGAGGCUGUGGGUUGCAGAAGGCUUUGUGUGUAGCAAAGGAAAUAGCACCCCGGAGGAGGUGGCCGAGGGAAACCUGACGGAACUGAUAUACCGCAAUAUGCUUGAAGUCAAGGAGACAGAUGAACUGGGAAGGGUGAGCACCUGUACAAUGCAUGAUAUCAUGCGAGACCUGGCUCUUUGUGUUGCAAGUGAGGAGCAGUUUGUAUGUGCAAAUGAUUAUGCCACAUUGAUACAUAUGAAUAAGGAUGUUCGUCGUCUGUCAUCAUGCGGAUGGAAAGGCAAUACUGCACUGAAAAUUAAGCUUCCCCGUCUUCGAACUCUAGUGUCAGUAGGAGCAAUUUCAUCCAUGCCUGCCAUGCCGUUCUCAGUUUCGUCAGAAUCCAGCUACCUGACUGUCCUCGAGCUACAAGACUCUGAAAUCACCGAAGUGCCGGCAUGGAUAGGGACACUCUUCAAUUUACGUUACAUUGGCUUACGCCGCACCAAGGUGAGGUCACUCCCGGACUCUGUUGAGAAACUAUCGAACCUGCAAACUCUUGACAUCAAGCAAACUAACAUAGAGACCCUACCAAGAGGGAUUGCUAAGAUCAAGAAUCUACGGCACCUCUUAGCUGAUAGAUAUGCUGAUGAGAAGCAGACGGAGUUUCGAUACUUUGUCGGAAUUCAAGCACCAAAAGAACUGCCCAACAUUGAGGGGUUGCAGACUCUUGAGACCAUCCAAGCCAACAAAGACUUGGCUGAGCAGCUGGAGAGAAUGGUGCAACUGCGAACUCUGUGGAUUGACAACAUAAGUUCUGCUGAAUGCGCUAAUAUUUUUGCUGCCCUGUCAAAUAUGCCGCUUCUUUCCAGCCUGCUUCUUGCUGGAAGAGAUGAGAACGAGGCACUUUGUUUUGAGUCCCUCCAGCCAAUGUCCACACAUCUCCACAAGCUGAUCAUCAGAGGGAAAUGGGCCAAGGGAACGCUGGACUGCCCGAUAUUCCGCAGCCAUGGAGAAAAUCUCAAGUAUCUAGCUCUAAGCUGGUGUCACCUUUGGGAAGACGAGGAUCCACUAGGGAUGCUUGCACCACACUUGCCAAACCUCACAUAUCUGCGACUCAACAACAUGCGCAGUGCAAACAUUUUGGUUCUUUCUGCAGAUUCCUUUCCUCACCUGAAGAGUCUUACACUAAAGCACAUGCAUAAUGUCGAUGAGCUAAACAUCAUCGAUGGCGCCCUUCCAUGCAUUGAAGGUUUGUAUGUUGUGUCGCUGUCGAAGCUUGACAAGGUUCCUCAAGGCAUUGAAUGCCUUAGUUCCCUGAAGAAGCUCUGGCUGCUGGGUUUGCACGGGGGCUUCAAAGCUCAAUGGGACUUGAACGGAAUGCAGCAGAAGAUGGUGCAUGUUCAGGAGGUUCGUGUCUGAAUGUGGCACAGUGGUUCUUUCUGCAGUGGCAUUCUGGUAUGGUGCAACCACGGCGUCUAGGAUCAUUCUAGCUUUAAUCAUUCUGGUAUGUUAUACUCCCUCUGUCCCGAAAUAAGUGUCUCAACUUUGCACUAACUUUAGUACAAAUUUGUACUAGGAUCAAGACACUUAUUUUGGGACGGAGGAAGUAAUUAUUAAGACAUCAUUUGCGAGUCUUGUAGUACUUGUGUAUCGUGUUACGAUUUCUGUUCUUAAAAUAUCGUGUUUGUUGCCUUCAUGAGACCCUGUACCUUUUACGUUGUUUCAGUUGCAUGCUGUAAUAUUGGUUUCAGGAAACAGUUGUAUUGAACAUGUGAGAAAAUAAUGUUGUAAAACUUGUUUACCUUGUUUGUAGAUACCGCUCAAUCUAUGUUUCUACCGC